ACUAGAGCCAAAUCUAUCUCAAAAGUUUAGGUCAUUUUUUUUCCUUUUUGAUAGUAUUCAAUGAGAAAUAACACUUUAAAUAAAACUUUUUCCAUGAGGAAGGUACAGUAAUUAUCCAC
ensembl:misc_RNA